rnacentral:rRNA from 1 species
UCAUGGCUCAGGACGAACGCUGGCGGCGUGCCUAAUACAUGCAAGUCGAACGCGUCUUGGUUAUUGAUGUUAGAUGCUUGCAUUUAACUGAUUUAACAUUGAGACGAGUGGCGAACUGGUGAGUAACACGUGGGUAACCUGCCCUUGAAGUAGGGGAUAACACUUGGAAACAGGUGCUAAUACCGUAUAACAACCAAAACCACCUGGUUUUGGUUUAAAAGAUGGCUUCGGCUAUCACUUUAGGAUGGACCCGCGGCGUAUUAGCUUGUUGGUAAGGUAACGGCCUACCAAGGCAAUGAUACGUAGCCGACCUGAGAGGGUAAUCGGCCACAUUGGGACUGAGACACGGCCCAAACUCCUACGGGAGGCAGCAGUAGGGAAUCUUCCACAAUGGACGAAAGUCUGAUGGAGCAACGCCGCGUGAGUGAUGAAGGGUUUCGGCUCGUAAAACUCUGUUGUUGGAGAAGAACAGGUGUGAGAGUAACUGUUCACAUCUUGACGGUAUCCAACCAGAAAGCCACGGCUAACUACGUGCCAGCAGCCGCGGUAAUACGUAGGUGGCAAGCGUUGUCCGGAUUUAUUGGGCGUAAAGCGAGCGCAGGCGGUUUCUUAGGUCUGAUGUGAAAGCCUUCGGCUUAACCGGAGAAGUGCAUCGGAAACCAGGAGACUUGAGUGCAGAAGAGGACAGUGGAACUCCAUGUGUAGCGGUGAAAUGCGUAGAUAUAUGGAAGAACACCAGUGGCGAAGGCGGCUGUCUGGUCUGUAACUGACGCUGAGGCUCGAAAGCAUGGGUAGCGAACAGGAUUAGAUACCCUGGUAGUC